rnacentral:rRNA from 1 species
UACGGAGGGGGCUAGCGUUGUUCGGAAUUACUGGGCGUAAAGCGCACGUAGGCGGCUUUGUAAGUUAGAGGUGAAAGCCCAGGGCUCAACCCUGGAAUUGCCUUUAAGACUGCAUCGCUUGAACAUCGGAGAGGUAAGUGGAAUUCCGAGUGUAGAGGUGAAAUUCGUAGAUAUUCGGAAGAACACCAGUGGCGAAGGCGACUUACUGGACGAUUGUUAACGCUGAGGUGCGAAAGCGUGGGGAGCAAACAGG